CAACCCACAACAUAAUUAUUCUAAACCCUGAGAUGACCCACAGGUUGAAAUAAUGUUUUAAUUCCACUAGAACAGUAUAUUAUUCGUGGUGCAACUCUUCCAGGCUGUGUAAGGCACACAUACGUGCAUAACCUGUGGCUAUUAACUUCACUUGAUGAUGAACUGUUAGUAACAUUUGGUUCCCCUUGAUGUAGCAAGAAUAUAACUUCCCGACGUUCACGUGGUCGCAACAGUAAUGAUAAUUUCCUGUAGCAAUGUUAUAACGAAGAGAUUGUUGUUUAUGGUUCCCAAACCUCUUAUGACCUGUGGUGGGGAAAGAAGGGGUGCGUCCCGCACUCGUUCACUACUUCCCAAAAAAUCCAAAAGCAUUGGAUUGGUGGAGGCAUAGGACAGGGAAGGGAAGUGAACAAUGGCAGACUUUGAGAGGAUUGAGAGAUAAUUGGAACACAGCCGAGAUGUUCAACAUCACUUCUUUUGGGGUUUGAUGAGUUCUUACACACAUCAUAAAUGAGAAAAACAAGCAAGUUCGUUGAACCUUCAUAUCUUCCCAGCGUGGCCUGGCAGACCCUUUUUAAACAUCUGGGGCGGCAGUGUUGGACUAGUAACCGAAAGGGUUUGCAAGAUCGAAUCCCCGAGCUGACAAGGGCUGCCCGUCCACCCAGGUGCAGGAGAUAUUGAGAGCAAUCUGGAUGUGCUGCCCCUGUUUGAGGCGGCAGUACGCAUGAUGCUAGAGGUAAGUCUUCUGUAGCAUCAGAUGGGGCUGAGGGACAGGAGGAGAAGGAUGAAGAGAACAGCGUGGAGCCUGACUCUACACCAGACCAUAUGGCUACACCCACAACUGUCAAAGCCCUGAUCUGUGGUGACAGAGGAGGAUUGUCUGUGGUUAAGUACAAGAUCACAGCCACUCCAGG
rnacentral:lncRNA from 1 species